rnacentral:pre_miRNA from 2 species
GUGACAGAAGAGAGUGAGCACAGAUGGGUUUUAUUGCAUGAUAUUAGAUGGAGAUAGCUACUACACACAAGGUUUCAUAUGCUUGAAGUCAUGUGUGCUCACUCUCUAUCUGUCAU